CUGCCCCUGCGGGCUCCGGCCGGGAAGCCCGUGGUUGGGCGGCUGGCGGACGGUGGGUCCAGGUGCUCGCUCUGUGAGCGGCGGCGCGAGCUCCCGCGAGGUCCGCUUCUCGGAACCGGAAUCGGGGCCUCGCGCCCGCCUCAGACCGGCGGGCAGACCCGGAGCUAGGCCUUCGGCUUCACAGAAGUAAGUCACCCCCGGAAGCGCGGGGAAAGGGCCGGUGGCAUUCAGGGUCACCGGGCUUUGUGCCCGAAGCUCGUGCGCCUUCGAAGACCAAAGUUCCUCCGCGCUCAGAUCCAGUCAUCUGGAGUUUUUCGCAGGUGAACUAAGUAAGGCCUGGUGGUGGUGGCGGUUUAGUUGCAGAGUCGUGGGCGACUCUUUGCGACCCCUUGGACUGUAGCCCACCAGGCUCCUGUUUGUCCAUGGGAUUUUCCAGGCAAGAAUACAGAAGAAGGCCUCCAGAGACUAAAGUUUUUUCCAUAAACAAGAGGCAGACAGAGGACACAGCGGGGGAUCUGUCCCUGGAAUGCCCCCAUAGGAUCCUGCUCAGAAAAAUCUCAGGCUAGUCUUGUAAAGGAUGAAAGAGUACAUGGAGAGAGGACCCAGAGUACAUGGAAAGAGGACCAGGCCGUGCCAGCCAAUCCAGCUUCUGCAGGUGAGAGCUACACACUGGCAGGGAACUGAGAGCUGCUGACCCUCCAUGGAGCAAAGACAGACCCAAAGGACUGACCUACAGAACUGUGAGCAAGUACUGGUACUCUGCUUUUUAAGUCAUUACAUUUGGGGGAUGAUUGGUUAUACAGUAAAAAUUAACACUGUUACUAAAAAGUAGAUGCUAAUUAUUAUUGUUCAAACAGAAAAUGUUGCUUUGAAUCUUUAGCAAACAUGCAUGAUAUGGGGAUAAUUUUUUAAGACUAAAAUAAAUCUAAUAUACUUUUAUUUAUAUACUGAAAGUAUUCGUUGCUCAGUCAUGUCCGACUCUUUGCAACCCCCUGGAUUGUAGCCCACCAGACUCCUCUGUCCAUGGAAUUCUCUAGGCAAGAAUACUGGAGUGAAUUGCUAUUCCCUUCUCCCGGGGAUCUUCCCAACCCAGGGAUCAAACCCAGGUCUCCUGCAUUGCAGGAGGAUUCUUCACUGUCUGAACCAGCAUAUAUUUUAAAGAAUAAUGGAAUUUAAAGCAGGAGUUAAAGAAAUACAACACUUAACUACAAUAAAGUAAUUCACUGGAAUUCAAAUAUCCUCAAUUAUUUAAUCCAGGGGCCAGCAAAUUACAGCCCUCAGGCCAAAUCUGAACCCUGACCUAUAAAGUUUUGACUGACCUAUAAAGUAAAUAAAGUUUUAUUGGAACACAGCUAUGCUCAUUUAAUUAUAUAUUGUCCAAAGUGCUUUCAAACUGUGGUGCUGGAGAAGACUCUUGAGAGUCCCUUGGACUGCAAGGAGAUCCAGCCAGUCCAUCCUAAAGGAAAUCAGUCCUGAAUAUUCAUUGGAAGGACUGAUGCUGAAGUUGAACUCCAGUACUUUGGCCACCUGAUGUGAAGAGCUGACCCAGUGAAAUGGGAUGGUGGGGAAAGAUUUCUGAUGCUGGGAAAGAUUGAGGGCAGGAAGAGAAUGGGGCAGCAGAGAAUGAGAUGGUUGGAUGGUAUCACCAACUCGUUGGACAUGAAUUUGAACAAACCCCAGGAGAUAAGUGAAGGACAGGGAAGCCUGGAGUGCUGCAGUCUAUGGGGUUGAAAAGAGUUGGAUACAACUUAGUGACUGAACAAUAGCUUCUUUAAUACUAUGAUACCAGAGCUGAAUAAUUGAGACUAAGACUGUGGCUUGCAAAGUCUAAAUUAUUUCCUAUCUGCCCCUUUACAGAAAAAUUUGCUGACUCCUGUUUUAGUGAUUAUAUUUCAAUAAAUGUUAACUAUUGUCAUCGUCAUUAUCAUACAUUGUCAUCAUCCCUAUUAUUGUAGCCAAUGGGAUGCAUGUGGAAAAUAAUAUUCCCUUGAUCAAAGAGCAGCCACCUAAUCCUACAAAAUUAGUAUUCCUAAUCUUUACAUGAACACUGUAGUCAGCAAUGAAGGGAAACACAUACCCUUCUCCUUAUUUGAGAAAGUACUAAUAGAGAAACUUGCCUUCUAUUAGAAUGUAUUUAUUUGCCAUCUAAGUCUACACAUGUAAUUUUUACUUAAUUUCAAAGAUAUGAUACAUUUAAAAAUCUCUAUAGAUAACCAUUAACCAAAAUUGGUUUAAAAUAUAAUACAGACAAAAAGCAAAAAUUAGAUUCACUUUAUUAUGUGAAACUAGUUAUUAGUGGUGUUUAGGGACCAUAUGAGCUGUUACUAAAAAUCUUAAAUCUGUAUUUCUACAGAAGAGUACAGUAGUCUAUGUUUAAAGAAUGUUCUUGACCAGAAAGUUAAUAAAUUUAAAGUCAUUUCCAGUUUUCCAGUUGAGACAAUAUACAAUACGUAUGAGAAAACACAGGAGUUUGAUGAGUGACAAGAUUUGAGAAGAUAGACCCAAGAACUUGUAUAUGACAAUAAAUACAAUAAGAAUUGGAAAAAAUUUAAAAUUUGGAAGCAUGGGUCCUGUGCCUUAUUAUUUAACUUUUAGAAACAUUUAUGUAUUUAUUUGGCCGUGUCUUAGUUGUGGCAUGCAGGCUCAGUGGUUGCAGCAUGUGGGAUCUUAGUUCCGCAACCAGGGUUGAACCUGCAUCUCCUGCGUUGGAAGGUAGACACUUAACCACUGGACAACAAGGGAAAUCCCUGGGUACUUGGCCUUAGAACUCAUUGUUUAUUUUGUUUUCUUUACGUCAUAAAGCUUCUAAGAGUUUUUUGUCAUUCUUGUAAAAUUUUAGGAGAAUGUGGCUAAAUAUCAGUCUCUUAAAAUGUAAUCUGCUUGGCAUAUGAUGGCUGCAUCAAACGUAUAUUUUUCUCUGUUGUUGCUUUGGUUACUAUCUAUAUUCUCUUUCUGAAAUUGUGUGUGUCCUCCUUGAUAGAUCCUACAUCUCUCUCAAUCUGUCUGUCAAAUUUCUUUCAUUUCUUUUUUUAUCUGUCUGAAAAUUUAUGUUGACUUAGCUUCUUAAUUCAUGAAUGUGAUCUAAAUAAAAAGAAGUCAGCUUCAGAUAUAUCUAAAUUCUCAAUAUGUUAUAUUUCUCUUGUCACAGUUAAGAUAUAUUAGUGAAAUAGAACCUUAAACAUUAAUAAAUGCUUAAUAAUUUUCCUAGAUUUUAUAAAAGUUUUCUUAUCAGAAACAUACCCAAUGAUCUAAAGAGGUUGGCUAAUAAUGAAUAUUCAUUUCAUAAAUGACUCAUAAAUAGCAAAAGUAACUAGUGGCAGUGUAGGAGUAAAAUAUAUGGAUUCUGAAUUGAGUCUGAAUGAAUCCACAAUGGGUAAGUACUCUUAUCAGCCUACUCCAAAAUGAAAAUAUCCACUUCUAACAAAUAUGUUUUACUUCUCCUUACAGUAGUGGCAAUUAAUGAAUCUUUUUUUUUUUUUUUAAUGUUUAUUAUUAUUAUUUUUUUUUUCCAGUGGGUUUUGUCAUACUAAUGAAUCUUUUAAUUACACUUACACAUUAUUCUCAUUAGCCCAGCUCCCAGUGGAAAUAUCAACCUUGAACAAAUACCUGUAAAGGGUAACUGGUUUUUUUUUUUAAGAAAUAAUUGGCUUUAUUAAACGAUUCAUGAACUGGGCAGCAUACCAUCUCACAAAAAGAAAGGAGUCUCAAAAAGCUGCAGAAAAGCAAAGAUUCUUAAAGGCACAGGAAGGGAGGGACAGGAAGUCAUAAAUGAAAAAAAAAAUGAAUUAUUUCAGGCUAGGUCGCCUACUUUGGGGGGACAAAAGAGUCUAUCAGGUGAAUUAUCUCACUGGCACUGACCAAGGAGUUCCAGACUGAUUGGUUAAGGGUAACGGUCAAAUAUAUAGUGCUGUACUAAGUCGCUUCAGUCAGGUCCGACCUGUGUGACCCUAUGAACUGUAGCUGGCCAGGUUCCUCUGUCCAUAGGGAUUCUCCAAGCAAGAAUACCGAAGUGGAUUGCCAUUCCCUUCUCCAGGGUUAAAGAUAUAGACAAACACUUAAAGCUGAAAGAUGCCUAGUCCAACCUCUUCAUUUCAACAACAAGGAAUCAGAAUAAAAGGAUUAAAUGGUUUGUCUAAGAUAACGCAGCUAGAAACACAGUUUCUUGAUUCCUACCUCGUUAAUAAACAAUCCAUUGUCUUAACAAUCAGCAUGACAGAGAGAUGUGCCUUGGGAACAAGUCAGACUUAUUAGAGAAGAACUUGCUGUGCACAGAGCCACUUCUGGGUAAAACACACCGAAACGGUCAUCAGAGAGCCCAGGCAUUAGAGACGCCAGGCACCAAACUCAAGAAGGCAGUGAAUUAGAGAAAGGGAUGUAUCAUAGUAAGCUGAUGGGCUUCCCUCAUAGCUCAGUUGGUUAAAGAAUCCACCUGCGAUGCAGGAGACCCCGGUUCAAUUCCUGGGUUGGGAAGAUCCCCUGGAGAAGGGAUAGGCUACCCACUCCAGUAUUCUGGUCUGGAGAAUUCCAUAGUCCAUGGAGUCACAGAGUCGGACACGACGGAGCCACAUUCACUUUCAUAGUGAGCUAAAACAAGGAUCCUGCUAAACAAGGACCCUGGAUACUACCAGACACACAUGCAUGAAAUGAGUCUAUACAGUGUCCUCCCAGUCUCGGGGCCAAACCCACACCUACUUUUCUCUUAUUUGUUUCUCUCUCAAAGCCUCUGCUUUUCUCUGUUUCUUUUCCCCACCUCUAUUCCCCUCAAAAUCUAAUUUUAACUACAUUAUAUCACAUUAGUAUUUUUUUACAGGCAGGGAAGAAGGCAAAAGUACAAAGCACAGUGUAAUUUCCCCUAAGUCCCAAAUUCCUUAAACUUGAUCUUAGCUAUGUGAUUAAGUAAUUUUCCCUGUGUAUUUAAGAGUAAUUUAAAUAUAAAUCUUUAUUUUUUCCCUUUAAAAACCCUAUAAGGUUGCUGCAUUAUGCACUUCAUGAUCCGUAUUUUGGUGGGGGGAAAGAAAGCUUAAAGAAAAAUAAAGAUUUUUAAACUUACCAAGCAUUCCCAAGACUGGAAGUAUCUCUGUUAAUCUUGCUAAUUAGAGGAUUCUGCUGCUGCUGCUGCUAAGCCACUCCAGUCAACUGUGUGCAACCCCAUAGACGGCAGCCCACCAGGCUCCCCCGUCCCUGGGAUUCUCCAGGCAAGAACACUGGAGUGGAUUGCCAUUUCCUUCUCCAAUGCAUGAAAGUAAAAAGUGAAAGUGAAGUUGCUCAGUCGUGUCCGACUGUUAGCGACCCCACAGACUGCAGCCUACCAGGUUGCUCCGUCCGUGGGAUUUUCCAGGCAAGAGUACUGGAGUGGGGUGCCAUUGCCUUCUCCGACUUAACACACAUGAUAUAUGAGAAUGUCACCUUCUGAAGGGCCACCUUUGCCUCCAUGAUCCACGAUUCUCAGGAUCUCUGCCACCAGUUGGACAAGUAGAGCUGACUUUUGCCCGUAAGGUGAUGGUUUAGGAAGCCAGUAUUCUCGGGAGGGCUUAGGAGUCGCUUAGGCAGCAAGUCGCUUCGGUCAUGUCCGAGUCUUUGGGACCCCAUGGACUGUAGCCUGCCAGGCUCCUCUGUCCAUGGGUCUCUCCAGGCAAGAAUGCUGGAGUGGGUUGCCAUUGCCUCCUCCAGGGGUUCUUCCCGACCCAGGGAUCAAACCGGCCUCUCCUACAUUGCGGGUGGAUUCUUUACCACUGAGCCACAGGGAAAACCCCUUCUCAUAUGGCAGCAAAGGUGAAUUUGAAUCUCUCUUGGUCUAUACAUCAGUCUAUAAAAAUAAUUAAGCAAGCCUUCAACGUGACAGCCACUAGUUUUGGAGAGUCAAAUGGGCAUCCAACACCCAAUAUCCUGAAUUGCUAUCUUUCUGAGACUGGAGGGAAGUGAUGAACCUACCACAUUUUGAAAUGAAAGCAGAAGUCACUCUGCGGCAGGGCUAUAGCUUAACAUUUUCAGCAAGACGUGGAUCCUUUAUUCACUUUCCACUUACAAUGCUCUAACUGCAAG